rnacentral:rRNA from 1 species
CCUACGGGAGGCAGCAGUAGGGGAAUCUUCCGCAAUGGACGAAAGUCUGACGGAGCAACGCCGCGUGAACGAUGAAGGCCUUCGGGUCGUAAAGUUCUGUUGUUAGGGAAGAACAAGUGCUAGUUAAAUAAGCUGGCACCUUGACGGUACCUAACCAGAAAGCCACGGCUAACUACGUGCCAGCAGCCGCGGUAAUACGUAGGUGGCAAGCGUUGUCCGGAAUUAUUGGGCGUAAAGCGCGCGCAGGCGGUUUCUUAAGUCUGAUGUGAAAGCCCCCGGCUCAACCGGGGAGGGUCAUUGGAAACUGGGAAACUUGAGUGCAGAAGAGGAAAGUGGAAUUCCAAGUGUAGCGGUGAAAUGCGUAGAGAUUUGGAGGAACACCAGUGGCGAAGGCGACUUUCUGGUCUGUAACUGACGCUGAGGCGCGAAAGCGUGGGGAGCAAACAGGAUUAGAUACCCUGGUAGUCCACGCUGUAAACGAUGAGUGCUAAGUGUUAGAGGGUUUCCGCCCUUUAGUGUCUGAAGUUAACGCAUUAAGCACUCCGCCUGGGGAUACGGUCGCAAGACUGAAACUCAAAAGNGUAAUGACGUGNGAGAGCGACGACGACGACGACGGAGGAGGAG